UUUGGUGGCCAUGAAGCUGUGGUCCGACCCGUUCCCAUUCCGAACACGGCCGUCAAACUCAGCAUUGCCGAUGGUAGUACAUGUAAAGCUUGUGCGAGAGUAGGUUGCCGCCAGAU
rnacentral:rRNA from 1 species